GGAUGAGGAAUGGAAUCACAUUGUGUUUAGGGAUGAAUCUCGCUUUUCCUUGGGCAUGCACGAUGGUCAUGUGUUAGUAAGACGGCGACUUGGAGAAAGACGUGAACCUCACUUUGCUGUGGAGAGUCACACACUAUGGAUUUAAUGUGAUAUGUGGAUGACGUUUUGGAGUCUUAUUUUCAUCCCUACAUAAGAAGAUAUCCUGGACUAAUUUUUCAGCAAAAUAAUGCCCAUCUAUAUAUUACCAGGAAUACAUUAAACUUCCUACAAGCCCCCCAAGUGAAUUCUGUCUUGACCACCCAGAUUUUUGCCCAAUCGAACGUGUGUGGUAUAUAAUGGGGCGACGUUUAAGGAAUUUACAGCGUCUUCCACGGACUUUUGAUGAUCUAAGAUGUCAGAUUCAGUUCGAGUGGAAUGAGAUACCACAAGAAAAUAUCGAUAAUCUCUUAAUGUCUUAAUCAAAGAGAGGGUCCGACCCAUUAUUAGCUUUUGACAAUUUAUGCUUUAAGAUUUAAGGAUAAAUCAAUUAUAUUUAGGUGUUACGUUUUUUUUUCACGCAGUAUAUGUACCAAUAUGAUCCUCGGAAUAGUUGCAGCUAAAAUUAUUCUGACGCUUUCUAAAACAUUGUUAUGUACCAAUCAAAUUUUGAAAGUAACAUACAAGGCAUUGUUUUAAAGGAGGUUAAAAUAAUUUUAUCUGAGUCAUGAGGUAGUAGAAGAUUUAAAAAAUGAAACAUCAGUUUUUUAUAAAUAAAGUAUACCAGGACCUGGGCUGGAAGAGCUAGACAUAAUUUUUAUAAACGGACUUCGAUAACUCGAAGUUUUGAUAGCUCAAUUUUUUUCUGGCAAGUCAUCGUUCGAGUUAUCAAAGUUCGACUGUAUUUAUUUAAAUAAUAAUAUUAUAUAUUUCACCAACAAAACCUUUUUGGAUUAUA